GAUGAACGCUGACAGAAUGCUUAACACAUGCAAGUCGAUGGGGAAGUGGUGCUUGCACCAUGGUAACCAUGGCGGACGGGUGAGUAACGCGUAAGGAACUUACCUGCGGGACCGGGAUAACAGCAGGAAACUGCUGACAAGACCGGAUAAGGUCAUUAAGCUGCAUAGCUUAGUGAUGAAAGGAGACGCCUGCGGAGAGCCUUGCGUCCUAUUAGCUAGUUGGAGGGGUAACGGCCCACCAAGGCGAAGAUAGGUAGCCGGCCUGAGAGGGUGGACGGCCACAAGGGGACUGAGAUCCGGCCCUUACUCCUACGGGAGGCAGCAGUGGGGAAUAUUGGACAAUGGGGGCAACCCUGAUCCAGCAAUUCUGUGUGCACGAAGACGGUUUUCGGAUUGUAAAGUGCUUUCAGCAGGGAAGAAGGAAGUGACGGUACCUGCAGAAGAAGCGACGGCUAAAUACGUG
rnacentral:rRNA from 1 species